CCGGCCUUCCCCGCUCCCCCGCGUCCUCCGCCGCCCGCCGCCCGUCCCUUCGGAAGCGCCGAUUCCUCGGGGAGGAGGAGGCGUGAGGGGAGGCGGCGGAGGCAGCCGGCACGGGGCGCUCGGGCCGCGGGGCAGGGGGCGCGGGGUGCCUCCUCGGCCUCGGCUCUCCCCGCCCCGGGGCGCCCCGAGACCGCCGCCUGCCUCCGCGGGCAGCUUUGUUCUUCUUUCCUCCAACUACCUGUCUGAGCCGCGGGCCCCAGAGGCCCCAAAGAGAGGCCCGGAGGGUCUCCCCAGCAGCAUCCGAGGGGCGCUCUCGGGGAGCUAGGGGCCAGAGUCCGCGGUCCCUCCGUGCCUGCCUCCCUCCCCUCGUGCCUCGGUCUUUUGUUGCCUCUACUCCUCGGCACGGCGCAGCCUGGGCUCUCUUCCCCCUCCCGCUUGGGAGUUUGCAGUGUGGACGCUCGGCAAGCACAAGAUAAAUAUGUGUAUGAUCAA
rnacentral:lncRNA from 10 species